rnacentral:rRNA from 1 species
UUGACCUCGGAUCAGGUAGGGAUAA